CAGAAAUUCUAGUUUCCUCCCGGGUGGGUGCGGAGAGGGCCUGGGGUUGGCUCAGGGAGGGGGAUGCAGAACUAGGUCCAGAGAAAAAGGGUCUCACUCUAUUGUCUAGGCUCGAAUGCAGUGACGUGAUCAUGGAUCACUGCAGUCCUCAACUUACUGGGCUCAGGAUGAAAGGCUUCCUAGCACAAACACCACCCCUGGAGUUCCCGGUACAUCAAUACCAGCCUGGGGAUCACGUUCUCAUCAAGAGUUGGAAGAGGGAAAGCUUGAGCCAGCUUAGGAGGACCUUAUCUGGUACUCUUGAUGAACGAAACAGCAAUCUGAAUGGCUGAAAAAGGAUGGACCCAGCAUUCCAGGGAGAAAACUUGGCAUUCUUUGGGAAUCUAACAGGAUGCAGUGAACCCAAGCCUUUUCAAGAGCUCACCAAUCAGACUGCCCUUGUCUAUCCAUGAGCAGAUGUUUGAUAGUAUUGCGGAGGACCUCUAGUGGGUAUGCUGCCAAGCAACUGGAGUGGCACUUGGGCUCUAAUCCAGUUGUCUAUCCCUUUCACCCUGGCAUUUCAUCAGCCAAACAAAAACCAACUAACUCAGAAAAAAAGGAAAUCCCCUCAAGGGUCCUUUGACCCCGAUAUCUACAUAGAUGCUAUCGGGGUCCCCUGAGGGGUACCAAACGAAUUCAAAGCUCGAAAUCAAAUAGCUGCUGGAUUCAAGUCUGUCCUUUUCUUGUGGUCUACUAUAAAUAAAAAUGUAGACUGGAUAAAUUACAUAUACUAUAAUACAACAACGAUUUGUCAGUUACACCAGGGAUGCCAUUAAAGGAAUAGCUGAACAAUUGGGUUUCACCAGCCAAAUGGCCUGGGAAAAUAGAAUAGCUCUUCACAUGAUAUUAGUGGAGAAAGGUGAAGUCCAAUGUUGUACCUGUAUCCCCAAUAAUACAGCCCCUGAUGUAACUAUCACUAAGGGUCUAUAAGGCCUCACCACUCUAGGAAAUGAACUAGCUGAAAAUUUGGGAAUAAAUGAUCCCUUUACAGGUGUAAUGGAAAAAAUGGUUUGGUAGAUGGAAAGGACUAAUGGCCUCUAUUCUCACUUCCCUUGUGAUCAUAAUAGGGGUGCUUAUUCUCUUAGGAUGCUGUGUUAUACCCUGUGUCUGUGGACUAGUUCAAAAGCUCAUAGAAACAGCCCUUACACCAAGGCCUCCCAC
rnacentral:lncRNA from 1 species